rnacentral:sRNA from 1 species
ACGAGCUCGAAGGGAAUGUAGACCUUCUUUUCAACCGGCUCGCCCUUGGCGAGCUUAAGGGCGGCAUCGACU